rnacentral:lncRNA from 1 species
UGCCGUGUAAAGCUCCCACUCGUUUGCACGGGGCAGCUCGUCGAGCGGGACGCUCCAGCGGAACUGGAGUCGCCCUCCCCGUCGGUGAGGAACGGGCCGCCCCAUCCACCAGCUCCAGGUGCUAUUCCCUCCGGCGAGCAUCGCGGCAGGGCCCCGGACGGCGCUUUUGCCUGUUUGAAGCACCCGGGCGCGCGUGGAUGGAGCAGAGCGGGCCCCGGGCUCGCGCGCCUGCAGCCGUCUGUCCGUCCUGCCCCAGCGCGGGAGAGCGGCUCCGUGCCGGUGCCGGUGCCGGCCGGGCGGCAGCCAGCAGAGGGAGAGUCGGAGCGCCAGGCCCYGCUCCUGCCGGGCUCUAUUUCCCAGGAGCCGGCGGCUGAGCAGCUCCGAGCUGUCGCUGCAUCGGAGCAGCUGCAAGGACGCGCUUUGCUUCCCRCUGAGCCGUGUCCCGUGCCGGACGCGGGGCCGGGAGCGCCUGGUGCCGGGCCGCGGUUCCCGAUAGCGGUGCAAAGCAGCAGCCCGAAGGGCGYGAUCGCAAGGUCUCUAAAACUAGACUCACCCGUUUCAAAAGGAUUCUGCAGGUUUCCRGAGUCCACGUGGAUGUUUUGGAGGUCCUGCCGUAUGUGGCAUCUCUGCAGGGGUGAGAACAACUCAGCAGAUGCACUCGCCUGUGGAUCAGUCCCUACCUUUCUCCUGCUCAAAGACCAUGCAGAAAGCAAGAAUCAAGCGACUGAAAGAUUUAUGUUGGAACUAGAUCCCCAUGGAUCAGAACCUCCCAGCACAGUCGGACUUGUACCAAACAUAACUUCAGUCACCCACCCUUGGGAUGGAAACAGGCAGAGCAAACAAUGAAACAAGACUGUUUAUAAAGCCUUCAACACAUUAGGCAGUGGAGAAGAGCCCAAGUUUCCAUGUAAAGGCCUGAAUGGACAAGAAUGACGUGAAGCACAUGGAAAAUAUGGAAAAUGUGGAAUAAGUAAUAAAAUUAUAAAUAAAACAAAUACA